GACGAACGCUGGCGGCGUGCCUAAUACAUGCAAGUAGAACGAGUUGCGAACGGGGGAGUAACGCGUGGUAACCUGCCUCAUAGCGGGGGAUAACUAUUGGAAACGGUAGCUAAUACCGCAUACCAUCGGAUGUGACCCAAUGGGAUUAGCUAGUAGGUGGGGUAAAGGCUCACCUAGGCGACGAUCCCUAGCUGGUCUGAGAGGAUGACCAGACACACUGGAACUGAGACACGGUCCAGACUCCUACGGGAGGCAGCAGUGGGGAAUAUUGCACAAGGGGGGCAAGCCUGAUGCAGCCAUGCCGCGUGUAUGAUGAAGGCCUUCGGGUUGUAAAGUACUUUUAGCAAGGAGGCGGUACUCGCAGAAGAAGCACCGGCUAACUCCGUGCCAGCCGCCGCGGUAAUAC
rnacentral:rRNA from 1 species